rnacentral:lncRNA from 1 species
AUAGGCAGAGUCAAAAUCAGAGGUGUUUAUGGUACAGAAGGUAAAUCCUGACUUCAGGGUCGCUCUUAAAGAAAAUUAGGUCUUACGCUGCUCUUAACGGAAAAUCACCCCAUGAAACUCUGCCCUUUACGGCCUCUGAGACCCACAGUACCUUCUCAAAGUGGGGGGAUGGAGGAGAUUGCAGGGCUUCUGGUUGGGCAGUCAUUGUGACUUCUCCAUUAACUCUAUAAUGAGUUGGUUCUAAAUUCUGCCACUAGGAAGCCCAGUAGCACCGUCAGCCUCUGUAUCAGCGUUGCCAUGAGCACCCCCUUCGAGAAAUCUGAACUUGCCAAGCAUUGAUUUUUUCUUUUUAAAGCAGGUCUAUCCUAUGCUUCGAUGCCUCCCAACCAUCUGCACCCAACUGAGGUGACACCAGCAAGACUCUUCUGUUCCUGCUGUUCCAUCUCAACAAGAUCCUAUAUCCAGAAAGGGCAAAGGAAGCAAAGAGCCAACCUAAGCUGUAGAGAGCCGACGCAGGAAGACGAGAUUCCCAAGGUGCCUCUCUGUGACCUGUCAUCCCAGCCUCAGUCUGCAGAACCUUCCAGCAACAGAGACAUCUUCCUCAGCUCUGCACUCAGCGAGGGGAGCGACCGGGGAGCCACCACCCCAGCCCAGGCACCCAAGAUUUACGAAGGGCCCUGCCUUCCAUUAGGCAGCGGGAAGGGGCUGGGCGUCUCUGCUCAGCUUUAGAAGUCCAUUUGUUUCCAUUCCUUGUCAGCAGUUUGCAUAAGUGAGUGGUUUUAUUUCUUGGGAGCGAGGAGGAAAAAACGCACGAGUUACCCCAGCAGUGGGAGAUUUGUCAAAUAAAGCUUUUAA